AUGCCCCUAAGCUUUACAAGACUCCAGAAAAUUCACUAUCAACCUAUCUUUGACAAGCUCAAGCGGAACACCUCUGGAUGGAUCAAAUUAAUGCUACCCACUGCUGGCAGACUUGCCUUGAUCACCUCGGUUUUAUAUGCUCUGCCUAUCUUUCAGAUUUUGGCCAUUGAGCCCCCUAAGUGGGUGGUAAAAAAGUUUAACAAGGGCUCCAGAGGAUUCCUUUGGGCAAAUAAAGAUGAGGCAACUGGUGGCAAAUGUCUAGUCAAUUGGAAUCAGGUGUGCUUGCCCAAGAAACUUGGGGGGCUCGGAAUCCCUUGUUUAACCCGAAAGAGUGAGGCAAUGAGAUGCAGAUGGCUUUGGCUGUCGUGGAUGGAACCUGAUAGGCCUUGGCACGGCUUACCUCUACCAAUCAGCACCUCGGUCAGAGCUCUUUUUGAGGCAUCAGUGCAGUUUAAUAUUGGAAACGGUGCCAACACAAAAUUCUGGAUUGACCCUUGGCAUCAAAGGGAAAGUUUCUCCAGAAGGUUCCCCGAGCUUUUCAACCAUUGCACGAUCAAAACAAUCUCCAUCAGAUGUGCCCUUGCUGAUGGAAAGUGGAUGAGACAUUUCAAGGGAAACCUAACUCAACAGUCCAUCACCCAAUUCACGACCCUUUGGAAUGACCUGCAGUCGAUCCAGCUCACUCAAGCUCAUGACGAUUCACUUACCUGGCGCUAG
rnacentral:rRNA from 1 species